rnacentral:rRNA from 1 species
GAUGAACGCUGGUGGCGUGCCUAACACAUGCGAGUCGAGCGAUUCUCUUCGGAGAAGAGCGGCGGACGGGUGAGUAACGCGUGGGUAACCUGCCCUGUACACACGGAUAACAUACCGAAAGGUAUGCUAAUACGAGAUAACAUGCUUUUAUCGCAUGGUAGAAGUAUCAAAGCUUUUGCGGUACAGGAUGGACCCGCGUCUGAUUAGCUAGUGUGGGAGGUAACGGCUCACCAAGGCGACGAUCAGUAGACGACCUGAGAGGGUGAUCGGACACAUUGGAACUGAGCCACGGUCCAAACUCCUACGGGAGGCAGGCGUGGGGAAUAUUGCACAACCGGCGAAAGCCUGAUGCAGCAACGCCGCGUGAGCGAUGAAGGCCUUAGGGUAGUAAAGCUCUGUCCUCAAGGAAGAUACUGACGGUACUUGAGGAGGAAGCCCCGGCUAACUACGUG